rfam:Camelus ferus unplaced genomic scaffold scaffold743, whole genome shotgun sequence.
AAGGGUAUAGCUCAAGUGGUAGAGAGCAUGCUUAGCAUGCAUGAGUCCUGGGUUCAGUCCCCAGUACCUCCU